rnacentral:lncRNA from 1 species
CAAGCAGAAAACUGUUGAUUUCGCCAGAUCAAAGCACUUUCUUGCUUUUAACCAUCCGAUCACUCUCUAACUUGUUUAAAAACUUGUCAAAGCCUUUUAAAACAAGUAGGAUAGAUCCACAUAUCAUUCUUCACACUCGAACUUCGCAAUUUGCAAAAGUUCAGUGUAUUACAGCUGUAUUUUUAUUUUAGCGAUCAGUCGCAAAAUAUAUAAAUUUUUAUUCGCCCUUAUUAAGUUUAAUAUUUUUUUCUGUAAUAUUUUUCUUUUAUCCAGUCUAGAAUUUUAUGGCCCUAAAAGAUGGGCCUAUGCCGUAGCCUGCAGCAUGUCACGACAUAAAGAUUUUCUCCGCGAUUUCGCUUUGCAAUCACCCAAACUCCAAAGCGGACAUCUGACGGAGGUUUUGGCUUGGAAUCUUCUAGAAGCUUCUACGCGGAUCUCGAGACUGAUGGUGCGCAUACCGGAGGGUCAAGAGUCUCUUAGAGUUUCUAGGUGGGUAAUAAAUGUAAGACUCUUAGAGUUCUAUGCUUAUUUAUUAGGACCCUUGGGAGACCGUGUGGCCUCCCCUUUUGGCUAGUGGUAUUGUGCC